CCUUAAGUAUGAGCAGCACCUGUGAAUUAACUCUAAGCACAUUUAACAGUGUUAAUGUUUGGGGUCUGGAGCCUAGGCCUCAGGAGUCCUUUCAGCCUCUGUCUUCCCCCACUUGGAAUCCUGCCCUGAGACUUCCAUGAACAGAAGCUGGUUCAGCCUCCAUGAGGAUAAAAAGCCUUGUGGAGGGAAACCAAGGUGCCCCAGACAACGGCCAGCAACAACUGCCAGGGUCUCAGGCCAAUGGACCAGUAGCCUGUGAUUCUGAUGAGCGCUCUGAAAACAGGUGAAAACUGUUCAUCCCUUCUUUGGCGUCCUCAUCACAGGUGGUAGAAUUGAACUGCUCCUAGCAGAACCUGGGAAGAAAUACCUCGAGUCAGUUUGUUUUCUGAGUUCUGCCACGGUUAACGGACUUCCUGUGUAGGAGAUGCAGCUGUAGCCUGGCCACAGAAACAGAAGCAUACAGUUUCCACCUCUGACAAUGAAAGCUGGGCCUCGUGAGAGCUGGGAAAACCUGGGUCUGAAUCUUCCCACUUAGCUCGAAGCUCCUGUCUGGACCACAGCAGCCAAUUCUCACAACAUACAGUAGGAUCACGGCGUGAAGAGCACUGACUUAGAAGCUGCAUACGAACACGGCAAAUGACCAGAGAGCAGACACACCAGCUCUGGUGGGACAGCGUUCCUUGGGGAAAACACAGAGACAGGAACAGAUGCUGAAGAUGAACAGCAAGGAUCUCUUGGGAAAAAAUAUAUCUUCAAACAAGGGAGAUCCAGAAAAGCUUUUGUCUUCCAGGCUAGACUAUAGCCUUCUAUGGCCAAGAUGGAAACAGUAAACCAGUUAUCCAAGGUCAAGCUGGGAGAACAUGGCCUCUGCAGAAGAACCCUGCUACCUGCAGCCUGUGAAAUGGUCUAGAAUCCCAGCAGCCCUGGCAAUGCCACAUGCACCAAGAUAGGCGCCACCAUCCAAUGACAUCUUGGCAGUCAGAGGGAGCUUGUGACUGUCAUCUGGAGGUGUGACAGCCAAGAGUGUGGCCCUGGGGAAAGCCCUUCACAUGGGUCUUUCCUUGUUGCAUUUAUAUUUAGCUCAAAUGAAAACCUAACAGUUGUUUUCCUCAGUGGUGGGUACCAACCACUAACUCAAAAGGAUAAGAAAUAAUUGUUAACCAUGCUUCCUGUUAGGACUUGUAGUCCUUGAAUUUGGGACCACAUUUCUCUAACAACUGGCUUCCCUCUACCUUGCCCAGGGGAUGUGCAGAAAUGUUUGUUGUAUUGAGUUAUUUUGAAGAAGAUAAGAGAGAAAAGACUUGAAUUCUGGUUCUCAGCUUUUUUUAAAAAAAAGUUUCUAUAUUUUAAUUUCCUAAAUUAAGAAGUAUUUCAUAUUGCAUUUGCAGUAGAUAAGCAAUGAGAAUCUGCUGAAUAGCACAGGGAACUAUAUCUAGUCCCUUGUGAUGGAACAUGAUGGAGGAUAAUGUGAGAAAAAGAAUAUACAUAUAUAUAUGUGUAUGACUGGGUCACUUUGCUGUAUAGUAGAAAUCGACAGAACACUGUAAAUCAACUAUAAUGGGAAAAAUAAAAAUCUUUAAAAAAGGGAAAUAUUUCAAACAUAUAGAAAGGACAGAAAAUUAAGCAGACCACCAUAUGCCUACCAUCUAGAUUAAACAGCUAUUAACAUUUUCCAUUUUAUGUUAUUAUUUAGGGCUGCACCCCUGGCAUAUGGAGGUUCCCAGGCUAGGGAAUGAAUCAGAGCUGCAGCUGCCAGCCUACACCACAGCCACAGCAACGUGGGAUAUGAACUGUGCCUCUGAACUUCAUCACAGCUUACUGGUAGCAAGGCCAGAUCCUUAACCUACUGAGUGAGGCCAGGGAUGGGACCUGCAUCCUCAAGGAUACUAGUCAGUUUUGUAAUCUGCUGAGCCACAACAGGAACUCCCAACGUUUUCCCAUUUAUUUUAGGUCCUGUGUAACAAAAGAUUAAAAAGAAAAUACAACUAGCCAGCUCCCCCCACCUCCUUCACUCUUAUCCCUUCUCCUUCCCUCUGUAGAACUGUCUCUGCCUCCAGUUGGUAUAUGCUGUUCCUGUGCAUGAUUCUGGACUUUCACUAAGUAUCUGUGUGCAAAACAACAUUUACUAUCAUUUUAUGUACAUUCAGAACUUACUUAAAUGGCAUCAUGGUGUUUACAUUCUUUUGCAACUUUCUUUUCUUAUGUUAGGGUUAUAUGGAUACAGUGUAGACCCAGUGCAUUCUUUCUAACUGCAGCCUAGUACAUUGCAAUUUCUCCAUUUCUCUGUUGAGCGACAGGACAGUUAGUUGCUUUUCUGUGGUUGUUCUUGCAUUGUUGUUUCUUGUGCAUGUAUCUUUGCACAUGUACAAAAUUUCUUUAGUGUAUACCUAGAAGUGAAAUUGUCCUGUGUUAUGGAAUGUACUUCUUCCUUUCUUCAAUGUUGACAGAUCACUCUCCCAAGUGGUUGUACCAACUCACAUUCCUACCAGAUUGGAAAUUCCUAUUUUCCUGCAUCCUCACCAUCUCUUGUGAGACUUCAAAUUUUCCAAACUGUUAGAUGUAAAAGGCAUUUUAUUGUCUUAUUUUAUACUUUCCUGAUUACAUAUAGGAAUUCUGUGUUUGCUAACCAGUUGUGAGUGUGUGUGUGUGUGUGUGUGUGAGUGAGGGAGAGGAAAAGGGACAGAAAGACCACUUCUAAUCCUUUCCUCCUUAAAACAAAACAAAACAAAAACUGGUUUAUCCUUUUCUCAUACAUUUGCAUCUGUCCUGUAUUUAUUCUGAAGUUAUUGUUUGAAUUGCAAAUAUCUUCUCUCAAACUGUGUCUAGCCUUUUUAUUGUUUAUAUUAGCCUCUGUUAUAAAUAACUUUUUAAAUUUGAUGCAGUCAAAAUCAUAAACCCUUUAAAGAUUUGUGGGUAUUUGUUCUUUAUUUAAUAAAUCUGUUCCUGAUUCUACAUCCAAGAUAUUCUCCCAUAUUGUUUUCUAAAAAUUUUUAAAUUUUGCUCUUCACAUUUAAAUUUUUGUCCAUCUGGAAUUUACUUUUGCUUAUAUGGUGAAGUAGGAAUCUAAUUUUAUCUUUUCCCAAAUAGAAAGUUAAAUGUUUCAGCACCUCAUAAGGAUAGUCCAGCCUUUCUAAGUGUUUGAAAUGCCAUUUCUAUUAAAUACACAUUCCCUGUGUAAGUGGGUUAGUUCCUCGGCUCUCUAUACCGUUCUGUUGGUCCAUUUGUCUAUCCCUGAACCAUAACAUAACUUUAAGGUUAUUAUAGCUAAAAGCUACUCUUAGUAGUUGGUACAGUGAGUCUCCUCAUUCUUUGUCCUUGAAUUUGAUUUUUUGUUUUACAGCUUUAUUGAGAUGUAUUUAAUAAAUAACAUUUUCAAGUUGUACAAGGUGAUGAUUUGAUGUAUGUAUUGUGAAAUGAUUACCACGAUAGUAUUAGUUAACACGUCCUCAUGUUGUUACCAUCUGUGUGUGUAUGUGUUGAAAUAUUUAAGAUUUACUCUUAGCAAAUUUUAGGUAUAUAAUACAGUAUUGUUGACUAUACACUCAAGUUUGUUUUGACUCUCAUUAGUCCCUACCCUUCCAAUGUUUUAAGAUUAACUAGUUGAUUCCUAUGAAAAAUGCUAUUGAGGAGUUCCCGUCGUGGCGCAGUGGUUAACGAAUCUGACUAGGAACCAUGAGGUUGCGGGUUUAAUACCUUGCCUCGCUCAGUGGGUUAGGAAUCUGACAUCGCCGUGAGCUGUGGUGUAGGUUGCAGACUCGGCUCAGAUCCUGCAUUGCUGUGGCUCUGGCGUAGGCCAGUGGCUACAGCUCUGAUUCGACCCCUAACCUGGGAACCUCCAUAUGCCACGGGAGCGGCCCAAGAAAUGGCAAAAAAGACAAAAAAAAAAAAAAAAGAAAAAAAAAAGAAAAAUGCUAUUGAGAUUGAUAAAGGCAGUGCAUCUAAAUAUAUUAAUAUGGGAGAAUUUUGCCAUUUGUAUAAUAUCAAAUCUUCCUGGUCAGAAAUGUGAUAUAUCUUUCUACAUAGGCCUCUUGAUAAAAGAUAUAUUUAUUUUAUUUAAUCUGGAUUUAUACUUUCCAUGUGAAGAUUUAUAUAUAUUUUUAGCUUUAUUAUGAGGGUUUUAUGGUGCUUGCUACAACUGCGAAUAGUAUCUUUCUGAAAACUGUGUUUUCUAACAAUUUGUUGCAGGUGUUCAGGAACCAUUUUUAAAAACAAUUUUAAAUUAGGCAACUUGUGGGAGUUCCCAUUGUGGUGCAGCAGAAACAAACCUGACCAGUAACCAUGAGGUUGCGGGUUCAAUCCCUGGCCUUGCUCAGUGGAUGGAUCUGGCCUUGCCAGGAGCUGUGGUGUAGGUCACAGAUACAGCUCAGAGCUGGCGUGGCUGUGGCUGUGGUGUAGGCCUGCAGCUGCAGCUCUGAUGUAACCCCUAGCUUGGGAACCUCCAUAUGCCUCGGGUGCAGCCCUAAAAAGCAAAAAAAAAAAAAAAAAAAAAAAAAG
rnacentral:lncRNA from 1 species